rnacentral:lncRNA from 1 species
AUAUAUAUAUAUAGAAUUAGGCUACUAUACUAUCUAUAGUACCGAGCUCCGGUACUAUAGUGUUUGUUUUCGAUCUUAGGGCGUUCAAAUCAACGAUCCACACCGUUAAAUAUGAUCUAGGGUAUAUGAAUUUCUUAGGAAUAAAAUUUUAGUUUUUUUCGAUAUCGUUUAUUUAGUAAAUAAACUAUAUCAAAACGGACGGUGGAAAUUGAAUAAUCUUUAAAAUUUGAGCAUAGGACUUUUAAAUUCAAGAUCAAGAAUGUUAACCUUAAUCUAUAUAGUUUAAAGUAUUUUCUAUCAAAAUUUGAAGAAAUUUAGAUUCUUCUACACCGUUAAACUCCAAACUCGUCAUAAUAGCCAUUGAAAAUUGACAAUUUUGAAAUAGUUUGAUCAUAAAGUAAACUAUGUCGAAAAAAAUAUAAAAUUUUAUUUCUAGAAACUUUAAAUACCCUAGAUCAGUUUUAACGGUGUGAAUCAUUGAUUUAAACGCCCUAAGAUCGAAAACCAACACUAUAGUACCGGAGCUCGGUACUAUAGAUAGUAUAGAAGCCUAGCUCUAUAUAUAUAUAUAUAUAUAGAGAGAGAGAGAGAGAGAGAGAGAGUCCGGCUAUGGUGCUUGUAAAAGCACCAAGUAUUUGGUGCUUGUAAAUUUUCUACCAUUAGAUCUACGCAUUUGAUUAUUUUCACCUGUUAGAUUAUACUAUUCAACCAACCACCCACUCAACCCUAGGGGGCCCACAUCAUCCUCACCGCAUAUUUCUUAAGCCAAGGGUCGAAAACUUACAAGCACCAACGACUUGGUACUUUUAAAAGUAUAGGAGUUCAAUUCUAUAGAGUCCGGCUAUGGUGCUUGUAAAAGCACCAAGUAUUUGGUAUUUGUAAAUUUCUACCAUUAGAUCUACGCAUUUGAUUAUUUUCACCCAUUAGAUUAUACUAUUCAACCAACCACCCACUCAACCCUAGGAGGCCCCCAUCAUCCUAACCGCAUAUUCCUUAAUCCAAGGGUCGAAAACUUACAAGCACCAACGACUUGGUACUUUUAAUAGUAUAGGAGCUCAAUUCUAUAGAGUCGGG